rnacentral:rRNA from 1 species
AGUGAACGCUGGCGGUAGGCCUAACACAUGCAAGUCGAACGGCAGCACAGAGGAGCUUGCUCCUUGAGUGGCGAGUGGCGGACGGGUGAGGAAUACAUCGGAAUCUACUCUGUCGUGGGGGAUAACGUAGGGAAACUUACGCUAAUACCGCAUACGACCUACGGGUGAAAGCAGGGGAUCUUCGGACCUUGCGCGAUUGAAUGAGCCGAUGUCGGAUUAGCUAGUUGGCGGGGUAAGGGCCCACGAAGGCGACGAUCCGUAGCUGGUCUGAGAGGAUGAUCAGCCACACUGGAACUGAGACACGGUCCAGGCUCCUACGGGAGGCAGCAGUGGGGAAUAUUGGACAAUGGGCGCAAGCCUGAUUCAGCCAUGCCGCGUGGGUGAAGAAGGCCUUCGGGUUGUAUAGCCCUUUUGUUGGGAAAGAAAUCCAUCUGGUUAAUACCCGGGUGGGAUGACGGUACCCAAAGAAUAAGCACCGGCUAACUUCGUGCCAGCCGCCGCAGUAA